GUAGCGGCGAGCGAACGGGGAGCAGCCCAGAGCCUGAAUCAGUGUGUGUGUUAGUGGAAGCGUCUGGAAAGGCGCGCGAUACAGGGUGACAGCCCCGUACACAAAAAUGCACAUACUGUGAGCUCGAUGAGUAGGGCGGGACACGUGGUAUCCUGUCUGAAUAUGGGGGGACCAUCCUCCAAGGCUAAAUACUCCUGACUGACCGAUAGUGAACCAGUACCGUGAGGGAAAGGCGAAAAGAACCCCGGCGAGGGGAGUGAAAAAGAACCUGAAACCGUGUACGUACAAGCAGUGGGAGCACAGAGCAAUCUGUGUGACUGCGUACCUUUUGUAUAAUGGGUCAGCGACUUAUAUUCUGUAGCAAGGUUAACCGAAUAGGGGAGCCGAAGGGAAACCGAGUCUUAACUGGGCGUUAAGUUGCAGGGUAUAGACCCGAAACCCGGUGAUCUAGCCAUGGGCAGGUUGAAGGUUGGGUAACACUAACUGGAGGACCGAACCGACUAAUGUUGAAAAAUUAGCGGAUGACUUGUGGCUGGGGGUGAAAGGCCAAUCAAACCGGGAGAUAGCUGGUUCUCCCCGAAAGCUAUUUAGGUAGCGCCUCGUGAAUUCAUCUCCGGGGGUAGAGCACUGUUUCGGCAAGGGGGUCAUCCCGA
rnacentral:rRNA from 1 species